GGUAACACUGAAUGGAGGACCGAACCGACUUACGUUGAAAAGUGAGCGGAUGAACUGAGGGUAGCGGAGAAAUUCCAAUCGAACCUGGAGAUAGCUGGUUCUCUCCGAAAUAGCUUUAGGGCUAGCCUCAAGUGAUGAUUAUUGGAGGUAGAGCACUGUUUGGACGAGGGGCCCCUCUCGGGUUACCGAAUUCAGACAAACUCCGAAUGCCAAUUAAUUUAACUUGGGAGUCAGAACAUGGGUGAUAAGGUCCGUGUUCGAAAGGGAAACAGCCCAGACCACCAGCUAAGGUCCCAAAAUAUAUGUUAAGUGGAAAAGGAUGUGGCGUUGCCCAGACAACUAGGAUGUUGGCUUAGAAGCAGCCAUCAUUUAAAGAGUGCGUAAUAGCUCACUAGUCGAGUGACACUGCGCCGAAAAUGUACCGGGGCUAAACAUAUUACCGAAGCUGUGGAUUGUCCUUUGGACAAUGGUAGGAGAGCGUUCUAAGGGCGUUGAAGCAUGAUCGUAAGGACAUGUGGAGCGCUUAGAAGUGAGAAUGCCGGUGUGAGUAGCGAAAGACGGGUGAGAAUCCCGUCCACCGAUUGACUAAGGUUUCCAGAGGAAGGCUCGUCCGCUCUGGG
rnacentral:rRNA from 1 species